rnacentral:tRNA from 1 species
GGUUGUGGCUCAGUGGUAUAGUUCUUGCCUGGCAUGUGUGAGGCUCUGGUUUCAAUUCUCAGAACCA